CUUUUUCAGCCUCGUCAGCACCUGUCACAUGCACACUCAGCUUUGCGGAAAUUACGGGCAAUCUGUCGAAGAUUUCUGGUGAAGUAGAAAGCACGUGAAUCUUACUGUUCAAUCACCGCUCUCCAUAUGCACCAUCAACUCCUCGGGUACCAUAUAUAACUUUGUCAAAGAUCUCUGACAAAGUUUAGGCACGAGAAUUUCGAAGUUCCAGCUACCCUACUAUUACCCAUAAGGGUAAAGGAACAGCACCACUGCUUGACAACUGGAAAGUCCCUAUGUGUGUCGACCUCCGUGUUUUUGCGGCAAGACAGGUUGGCAAGAACGUCCAACCUUUACUCACAUUCGAGAAAAG
rnacentral:lncRNA from 1 species